UACGUAGGGCGCAAGCGUUGUCCGGAAUUAUUGGGCGUAAAGAGCUCGUAGGCGGUUUGUCGCGUCUGCUGUGAAAACCUAAGGCUCAACCUUGGGCUUGCAGUGGGUACGGGCAGACUAGAGUGCGGUAGGGGGUGACUGGAAUUCCUGGUGUAGCGGUGGAAUGCGCAGAUAUCAGGAGGAACACCGAGUGGCGAAGGCAGGU
rnacentral:rRNA from 1 species